UACGGAGGGUGCGAGCGUUGUCCGGAUUUAUUGGGUUUAAAGGGUGCGUAGGUGGGUUAAUAAGUCAGUGGUGAAAUACGGUUGCUCAACAAUCGAGGUGCCAUUGAUACUGUUAAUCUUGAAACAAGUGGAGGCUGCCGGAAUGGAUGGUGUAGCGGUGAAAUGCAUAGAUAUCAUCCAGAACACCGAUUGCGAAGGCAGGUGGCUACGUUUGAUUUGACACUGAGGCACGAAAGCAUGGGGAGCAAAC
rnacentral:rRNA from 1 species